rnacentral:rRNA from 1 species
CGGCCAUACCACGUUGAAUAGACCGGUUCUCGUCUCAUCGCCGCAGUAAACCAAUGUGGGCAUGGAUAGUACUUGGAUGGGUGACCGCGUGGGAAGACCAUGUGCUGUU